GGGUGGUGACAUUAUUACUGAGGACUUUAGUCCCCGUCUCCGCCGUCAAUGCUUUCCCUCUUCUGCAAAACCCUAAACCCCACAUUUCCUCUUCGCGUCACUUCUUCUCACUCCUUCUCCCUCCCUCGGUCUACCCGCACUAUCGUACGAAACAUGAGCUCCGGGUCUCGAAUGUUCCAGCUCAAACUCGACCCGUUAACCGGAAACUCCGAAUGGGUCGUAAUCGAGGAGAGCGACACUCCAGAGCAAACUCCAACUCCACUUCUUGCCACAACGUCAUACCUCGAUAUGCUCAACGACUCUCCCAGAAACAGAGCAUUCCGUGAAGCCAUUGACAAGACUGUAACUAAACCUUGCCAUGUUCUUGAUAUUGGUGCUGGAACUGGAUUAUUGUCGAUGAUGGCUGCCCGGGCAAUGGGUCCUGCUGAUUCAGCGUCUAACUCUGAUUCCAAGGGGAUGGUUACGGCUUGUGAAUCGUACCUUCCUAUGGUGAAAUUGAUGCGGAAAGUUUUGAGGGCAAAUGGCAUAGAAAGGGGAAUUCGCAUCAUUAAUAAGAGGUCAGAUGAAUUAGAAGUUGGCAGGGAUAUAGCAUCUCGAGCAGAUGUUCUUGUUAGUGAAAUACUUGACUCAGAGCUAUUAGGUGAAGGACUGAUACCAACCUUGCAGCAUGCCCAUGACAAUCUAUUGGUGGAAAGUCCAGAAACAGUGCCUUACCGAGGAACGAUAUUUGGUCAGCUGGUUGAAAGCAAAGACUUGUGGAAGAUGCAUGAUUUAUUUAAUAAUGAAGAAAAGGCAUCAGAUACAAUUCAUCUUGUUCCAAAGGGCAUGGAUACAAUAAUAUGUGUCAAACAUCAACAAUUUCCCAUGCAUUGUGAUGCAAUCAGUGAGGGAAUUAAACUGCUUUCAGAGCCCUUCAAAAUUUUUGAUUUUGACUUUUGGAAAAGGCCAGACAGUUCUAGGGAAACCGAGCUGCUUAUAAAGGCAACUAAAGGUGGCACUGCCCAUGCUAUCAUCUCAUGGUGGUUGCUUCAACUUGAUAGAGAAGGGACGGUCUUUUAUUCAACUGGUCCAAAGUGGAUACAUUGUCCUUCAGAUGUGAAGGAUCCAUCCCUAUCUUGUUCUGAAGCGUGGUGUGAUCAUUGGAAACAAUGUGUUUGGUUCAUUCCAAACAUAGGUUUAUCUGUACAAAAGGAUGAAUAUGUCCAUUUACAUGCCGUUCAUACCGAUAUUAACCUCUCUUAUGUAGUCAAGACUCAAUCUCAAAAUAUGGAAGUUAGACAAUACAAACUCAGUGCUCAAGAUUGUCAACUCUUUUUAUCACCAGAAAGAAUUGCAAUAUAUGGGGACAAGAAUUGGAGAUGUUCAAUGCUAAAAGCAAUUAACAAUGCCCUAAAGCAGAAGGCAUCUCCUUUGUGCAUUGUUGCUGAUGAUAGCAUCUUCCUGACAAUAGCUCUUGGUCAUCAUGCCAGAGCGUCAAAUGUAAUAUCUUUAUUUCCUGGUCUGCAAGAUAAAGGUGAACAGUAUCUGCAAGCUGUUGCUGCUUCAAAUGACUAUUCAAUGGAUUGCAUUAAAGUUCUAAAAAAGAGGAGCUCUGCAUUGACCAUGCAAGAUACACAUCACAGGAAGGUUGACUUGUUGAUUGCAGAACCUUUCUAUUAUGGAAGUGAUAGUGUGCUUCCUUGGCAAAAUCUGCGGUUUUGGAAGGAAAGAACUACAAUGGACCCCAUCUUGUCAAAAGACGUUGUGAUAAUGCCUUGUAAAGGGCUCUUGAAGGCUUGUGCAAUGUCCCUUCCUGAUCUUUGGAGAAGUCGACGAUGCCUAAAAGACAUUGAGGGUUUUGAUCAUUCAGUUGUGAAUUCCACUUUAGGAGCAUGUGGAGAUUUACCUGCAGGGGAACAAAGUCCUUGUCUGCCCUUUUUUAUCUGGCAAUGUGGGGAGACUAAGAAACUGAGUGAAAUAAUUACAAUUAUGGAAUUCAAUUUCCAAGAACUAAUGUGCCCAUGCUCAGAAGAAGCUCAGUUUGAAUUUACCGAGUCAGGAAUAUGCCAUGGACUAGUGUUCUGGAUUGAUUGGGUAAUGGAUGCAGGAGAGUCCACUGUCAUAUCGACGGGGCCAGGUAUGGGUUUUGAUUUUCUUUAGCAUCAUGGGCUGAUGGUUUCCUCUUCCAUGAAAUCACUUGUUAUAUUACAUUUGUGGUGAUCUCAUGACAUAGCUACAGUGUCUUGACCAACUUUAUGUGAUUUAUUUAGAACAACGAUAUUGGAAGCAAGGUGUGAAGCUUUUAGAGAAGCCUGUGACUGUGCAAGAGCGGGGAUCUAUCUCCAACUUUUGUCGUUCAACAAAACUUAAAGCGUCUUUCGAUCCCUCAGUAGCUGACCUUUGUGUGGAGCUUGCUUUUGUAUGAACUCAAUUGCUGUAUUGGUCCAUUUUCCUUCAUGCAAUCCCAAGAUUCAUGGAAAUCUUGUUAAACUGGUUUGCAUUUGCCAUUGCCUAAUUUCGAGGUUUUGGGUAAGAUGUGUUCUGAAAACUGCUACAACUGAGGUUAGACAGAGUCUUCAGAGGUAUACAUAUAUUUAUGACUACUGUAGACAAAUGUAAACUGUGUUUACUUCGACUCCGUUUUUUUUUUUUU